rnacentral:Y_RNA from 1 species
GGCUGGUCUGAAGGUAGUGAGUUAUCUCAAUUGAUUGCUCAUAGUCAGUUACAGAUUGAAUGCCUUGUUCUACUCUUUCUCACCUCUGUACUUGACUUUAG